rnacentral:lncRNA from 1 species
GAAAUGAUAUUAAAGGAGCAUACAUCCAACGUGCUCAAAAUCAUCUUGACGGACUCCUCGAGAGCUGCCCUGCAGAUGCAUCUCACCGAUCAUCAAUUCAAUGGCUAAAUAAACAAUUCUCAACAGAGGACGAGCCGGCUAACUAUCCUUUAGAAAAUGAAUUGGCUUGUAACUAAGUCGAUAAACAUUAUGAUUUUUUUUUUCUUACUAUACACACAACAACUGGAUACCCAUCUGAUUACCGGCUUCCAACAUGCAGCCACAUUCUGUCACGGUCAUUGGCCCCAUUAAAAAGAAAUCCAAUCUUUUGGUAAGCGUUUAAAUCCGAACUACAUGAUCAUAAAUUGGUAAUGUAUGUUCUUAUGUACUGUACAAGACAGUGUGAACAUGACUGUUGUAGUGAUGCAGUAAUACCCACCAAGCUAUAAAUAUCAAUAAAUUGAAAGUUUAAAAGGUUUUAAUCCCAGCAUCUUCAUAUAAAUAAAUAGAAAGGUUUUAAUCCCAGCAUCUUCAUAUAUAGAUGAUGAACAAUUAGUAUAUUAGUUUUUACAAACUACCAGAUAAUUAGUGCACAAAGGACUGAUUAGUGCAAUAAUAAAAAUGGCCUAAGUGCAGGAAAGAUUUUUUUUUUUUUAAAUUUAAUCAAAUUACAGUGGGUCAUGCAAAUCCCAGCCUCCUAAUCUAUGACUAUAUAACAUUUUUAAUUUCAACACAUUACUAGGCCCAGCACUAAAACACUUAAGUGUGAUUGCUUUAGAAUAUGAAUUGGCUUGGUUCAUACAUAUGGGUCAACCCAAGCACUGAUAUAAUUUAGGUCUAGUCUACUCAGGUUUUAGAUUUAAGUCAUCUAGUCACACCAUAUCCUUAUUUCUUGACACUAAAAAAUAAUACUACUGUACUUUAAUACACAGAAUUCCAAAUGUUUUCUUUUUUUGUCUGUUUGGCAUCCAUGAAAUCUAUAAAUUCUUUAUACGACUGUAUUCCCCUUCAGUAAUUAUCCACGGACCUUUCCGGAGUCACAAACUUAAAAACCGACCAAUCAGAAAUGGGUUAGGAAUACAUGCGUCUCACAAGUACACGUGUUGUACAUGUACGUUUUUGCAUGUGUUUUUACACCAUCGUUUUGUGGGACCUUAUGGGCUAUGGCAAAAAUAUCCAAAGGGGCAAGCUUUGCAGAAAGGGUUAUUUUAUGAGUUGUUCAGAUUGUAUCUUGUUUCAUGCGUAACAGCGCUUCCUUAUUUGCGUCGAUGUAGGCAAAAGAUAGAAACGAAUGAUUGUAGUGUUGUGAUGCAAAUUAUAAUAUUAUUAUUAUUAUUAUUACUACCAUUAUCAGCAGCAGCUUCAUAACCGUCGUUGUCAUCAUCGCAUUUAUUGUUAUUAUCAAUAUUAUUAUUUUUUUAUUAUUUGCUGCUGUAUCUUUAUUGUUAUUUUUAUUAUUAUUAUUAUUAUUAUUGUUAUUAUUAUUAUUAUUAUAGUUAUUAUUAUUAUUAUUGUUGUUGUUGAGUGUUAUUCUUUGUUUUCUAUUACUGCUUAAUGUGACAAACAUUCAAAUAGAUUCUUUCUUUGGAAAUAUUGUGUAAACAAACGAGUGUGCGUGGAUAGACCAUAAUCACAAAAAGCUUCUUGUCAUGAGUGUAACUAAAGUUGUUUUAUAGUUUUAUAUUUGUUUUUCUCUAAGGCUAACUUCAGUUUGUACUGCUUAAUGCUGAUCUAUUAAAUUAAUAAUAAUAAUAAAA